CCGAUCUCACUGACCUUCCUAUUAUUGCAACACGAGAAAUCCAUACAUACCAACCUUUACAAUAAUUUUCAAAACUUUCAAAAAUGUUACUCGUACUCCUUACAACAUUUCUUCUUCUUUUUGUACCGACUCGUACAACAUUUCAAGCAUGCAGUCCGUAUGAAACAUGUGCAUCGUAAAUACCCCACACACAACGUAUACAACAACGGAAAUAUAUUUACAACUAGUCAAAAGCGUUACUACGGAGAAUAAAUACGAAUAGCAUGAAGAAUCUUUCUUCUCUUUUUCCACUUUCAUUUCAUCCCUUGGUUUGAAUGUUGAUUUGCUUCACAAGACAUGCUACUCAGUUUGGUAUGUCGGUGCGCAUUUGGUGGAUGACAACCCGUUAAGCAAACUUAAAACAUGUGUCAAUAACAACAUUCAUAUGCAACAAGCAAUGGAAGUGAAAAUGCAAUGGGUUUUCAUUAAUUUCUCAACAAUUUUAUCAAGUAAUAGACAGUAGAAAAGGUUCUAAAAACAAGUAAAUGGUCAGAUCUCAGAUGAAUUGACUCAAAAGAAAAAUUUACUAAUCAUUACGUGCCGAUUAUUGGGUCACUGCAUGCACUUUAGAUCAAUGCGUUUAGAGAAUCUCUAGCAUGUCUCUAAACUCAUUCUCAAUCUCUAAAAGCUGUUACCGUUCUUAAAACUGCUCAAAAACAUGCUCCAAUUGGUUCCUGGUCCAUUCUCAAUUCCUAAAAACAAUCUAAGAAAAGCUUCGAGUGAAACCAACUACCGCUUUUGUACUUUUCAGGACUGAUCCAACUCGACCCGGCGCCGUCGGGACGCCGCCGCCGACCUCCUCCGGACACCACCCUGUCAUCCGCGUCCUAUCCGUCAUCCCCCAAGCCUCCCGACCCCAUCCCUUGCCCAGUAACAUCCUAUUGUUAACCGCACUAAUUUACAUAAGGUGCUGACCACAAUGCAGAGAUGCAAGUGUUUGAGCUAUGUGCAUGCCAAAGAAAUCAAAUGGCUUAUGUGCACUUGAUAAUUUUGUCAAAUGGAUUCACUGCAGAGGACUCAAGCAGACUAAAUCGUGAAUCGUAACUUAAUAGAUAGUACUCAAGUCACUUAUUUCAGGACAAGGGGAGUAACAAAUAUGAAAAUAAUCGAUAAUAACCUAUGAAACACAUUCCAAAACAUGUACUCUGGCAACAAGAGUCGAAUCAACCUAUGCAACGACCAAAAAUCUGAACAUUGUACACUUUUUACCAUUUAUGAUUUGACACCACUCUCGACGCAUUGGCCUGUCGGAGCUCCCCUAUCAUCAGGUUAGAUCAAAGCUUGGUUUUGAUACACCCUUAAGCCACCAUUUUUGCUUGGCUCAUUGGCAUGGUUAACGAUUGUUUCAAAUUGUACAUGGCCACAAGCUCCGCUUUCUCUCCACGGUGAAUUAAUUCUCCCCUAAGGAGCAUGGAUAACCAAAGGAGAUAGGAAUACAUGAGCUAGAGCUAGGAUGGAUAUCUUAAACAGGGUGGAUGGCGUCCCACUAAUAGAUUGCUAGUUGAUACAUAUGUACAUUUUUUUGUUUCAUCUAUUUUGUUGUUUGCUUGUCGUACCCAUCCUUUUAUGAUCCCUGAACCGUAAGACUUUGGAACUAAACGUUAAAAUAAAAGUUCUUAGGUGCAUCAAUUGAUGCAAAGGCCGAAGAUACCCUGUUUUCAUUUUCAAAGAACGAAUGAGCUGGAAGAGUAAAACCCCAAGAAGGUCAGGAUGUAAACGGCGCCCUUAGCGGCGCUGACGGGCUCGUCAGAUGUUCUUUCCUAGCACAAAUUUUGUUUUGUACGUCAGCUGCUUUGGUCUUUAUUAGGAAUAAACGGGCCUUAAACGGCUGCCCGUUUACAUCCUUACAAGAAGGACAAGGAUGGAGGAAGCGUGACAUCCUCACAUCCAUGAAGUAGUGGUCUAGCUCAGUCUACAAGUGUACUGGGACCAUUGACACUUUCACUCUCGUUUUAAUUUUUUCGAUCAUUUCAAUAUGACAGGGCGACCAUCACAGUUGCUCUCCAAAAAAAAACCGACCAUCAUGGUUCACAGGUUACAAGCGUUACCCAUCGUACUUUAAAAAAUGUCCAAACCUCUACUUGAACUACAAGCCGAAGUACGUGCAUACUCGCAGAAAUGACAUUUUAUCAUGAAUACCAUCACAUCGAUGCAAGAAGUGUUUGCCUUUUUGCGCAUAAGAAGUGUUCUUUGAAGCGUCGUUGUCGUUGAGAAAGCUUGGAUUUGGCAACUCUGUGUGAGCAUGAACAUGCAUUGUGGACAUUGCUGUCAAAAGUCAUACUUAUUUAUGCCUAACUAAACAGGAUGAAAUCCAUGUUUUUUUUAUCAAGUCCGAAGAAUAGAUCUCGCCUAAAUUUUAAACUGAAGAGAACAGAACAGAGGGGUAACUGAGGAACUGAAACUAAAAAAAAGGCUCCUAGAUCCUAAUUGUUGGAAAUCAAAUUGGUAGGUUUGUUUAAUUUAAAAUCAGCAUUUCAGGUUUGGACUGAAUUUCGUAUAUAAAGCAAUUUAUUUAUUUUACAUAAAUUUUAGUUAUAUUUGGAUUUCAUCAAAACAAAUUCCUCGUGGUCGUAUCAUUCUUCGCUAAACCUCCCUCUUGUCAAUCUUUGAUCCGUGACCAAUUUGGCAAGCUGAGCAAGAGAUAGCUGAAAGCUUAUUUUUCUUUUGAGAGUGUUAUUUCUCAGUCGACUAAAAAAAUAGUUAUUUCUCAUCUAUAAUCGUAGCUAUCUAAUCAAGAUCUUUUUAUUAAUCGGACAUAUAUUAAUCUUACACGAACUCGAUAAUUGAAUAAAAAAUUAUUAUCAUCAACUGGGAAAUAAGAAAUAGUCCGAAGAAAUACUCGUUUCUCAGUCCUAAGAAUUCUUAGGAAAAACCGUUUUCUUUUGCAAACGAGUACGCACGACAGCAGCAAACCGCUGGACGAACCACGAGAAGGAAUCUUGACUAUUGACUGCUGUGGCACCUGAAGCCACCGACUAGAUUCCCACGCACUAGUGCCCUACUCUACUGCACCGUGGAACCAAGAGCCCCUUUCCCUCUCUCUUUUGAUCAUUUCAACAAAGUGAAAUAUACAGUGGUAAAUAUCGCACGCACGCAUCGGCCUCCCCGAAAACGUCCAAAUUCCUUCUGCCCAAGGGAGAAAAAAGGGGUCUUGUUUGCUUUCUUUUCACCUCAUCUGCUUGUUCCCCUCCUCCAUGGACCUCAACGCAACACCAUGCUGCGGCUGCUGCACUGUUCUCUAGCUUUCCUUUCUGGAGCGCUUCUGUUUGUCGCCGUUCCUACUUCUAGGCGUGCGCCUUUCAAAAAUCUCCACUUCCCCCAACGAAGCAUUCCCCUCGUUCUGCUAUAAAACUCGUCCAAAAUUUUUCCAAAUCAAACGCAGUCGAUCGAUCGAACACAGCACACCCAAAAUGCCGCGUUUCCACCAUUGCUCGUCCAUGUUCCCCCUGCUGAUCCUCCUCUUCAAUCUUCCUACAUGGUCUGUGCAAGGAUUAGUCACCAAUGGGGGCCACCAAGACCUCUCUUUCCUCCUCUCCUUCAAGGCAUACAACCCAAACAACGCCAAGUCCCUGGCUACCUGGGUCGGCCCCAACCCGUGCUCCGGCUCAUGGGCCGGGCUCAGGUGCUCCAGGGGCAGAGUGGCAGGCGUCUUCCUUGACAACGCCGGACUCGCCGGCAGCGUGGCGCCUCUCCUCAGGCUCACCCAGCUCAGGGUGCUCGCCGUUAGAGGGAACUCCCUGUCCGGCCCUCUCCCUCCCCUCGACAACUCCACGAACCCGACCCUGAGGCACCUGCUGCUCUCCCACAACGACCUCACCGGACCCCUCAACCUCUCGCUGCCUUCUCUGGUCACUCUGAAAGCAGAGCACAACGGAUUCCAUGGCGGCCUGCGAGCGGUGCGCGUGCCGAUGGUCAGAAGGUUCAAUGUGUCCAUGAACAUGCUUGCCGGCGAGAUCCCCGGCUCGCUGUCGGGUUUCCCGAGCUCGUCUUUCGCCGGCAAUCUCGGUCUCUGCGGCACGCCUCUCCCGAGAUGUGUCCAUGCGUUCGAUGCACUGGAAGAUGUCGCUCAAUCUCCUAUUGCGGCAGCAGAUAUAAGUAAUGGAAGACUCAGUAAAUUCAGCUUGGCUGCGCUCUUGGCCACUGGCAUUGGCAACGCGGUGCUCAUCACGGCCUCGUUGGCCAUCUCGGUAGCCAUGUUCAUCUACAUGAGAAGAAAGCUGAGAUCCCAAACAAAGGACGAAGCGGCUUCUUCCAGAGCGGGCCUCUGUUUCGAAGACGAAGACAAGAUCAUCAUGAGGAAUACCAACGACGAAGAGAAGCCGUGCGCGCAGAAGAGCGGCGCGCUGGUGCGCUUCGAGGGCGGCGAGGAGCUGCGGCUGGAGAGCCUCCUGAAGGCCUCGGCGGAGGUGCUGGGGAAGGGCGUGUCCGGGAGCACCUACAAGGCGGUCCUCGAGGACGGCAUCGUGGCGGCCGUGAAGCGGCUCAGCGCGCUGCAGUUCCCCGCGGGAGGGCGCAGCGGCAGGGCCUUCGACCGGCACAUGCGGCUCGUGGGCGCGCUCCGGCACCGGCACGUCGUCAGCCUCAGGGGCUACUGCAGCUCCAACGGCGAGCGGCUCCUCGUCUAUGACCACCUCCCCAACGGCAGCCUACAGUCCCUUCUGCAGCUGCAAGGCAAUGGCGAGAGAAGGCUAGGCUGGGCGGCGAAGAAGAGCGUCCUGUUCGGCGCGGCGCAGGGGCUGAGCUACAUACACACGGCGGGGAUGGCGCACGGGAACGUGAAGCCGUCCAACAUCCUGCUGGACGAGCGUGGCGCCGCGUGCGUGUCCGAGUGCGGGCUCAUGAGCUACGCCGCGGCCGGCAUCGUCCAGCAGCAGCAGCAGCAGCAGCCCAGGUGCCCGCCCGAGCUGAUGUUCAACGGCAGAGAACGCGGCGGGGGAUGGCGCGGGUACGCGGCGCCGGAGCUGCAGGCGGCGCCGGGCGCGAGGGCGACGCAGGAGGCGGACGUGUACAGCUUCGGGAUGGUGCUCCUGGAGGUGGUGACGGCCGGCAAGGGCAGCGGCGAGGAAGAAGAGGGGGAAGGGGAGGAGACGAUGGGGAUGGUCAGGAUCGGCGUGCUGUGCACCGCCGAGGCGCCGGAGGAGAGGCCCCGGAUGGCGCAGGUGCUCGCCAUGAUGAGCGAGUUCAUGUGAAGCACUGCAAGUGUUUGAAGAACUGUCAUGGACCCAUGAACGGUAUUUCUCAUUUUUCUCCUCUUGCUUUGCAGCUGCAGCCUGCAGCAAGAGAUCGAGGCGAUGCUGCCAUGAAUGUAAGACUGGAGAAGUAGAGAACAAGUUUUAAGAGUUGGAUGUUGAUUUGUUGUAAUCUGAGUAGUUUAUGUCGCUAAUCAAAUGCAUUCAACCCGGCGACCGGCGCCGGUGCAGCCGAUCGAACUGUUCAUUUUUUUAUCUUCUCUGAGAAAGGCCAAUCGAAUCAUUCGCUCUGGGCCUCAACGAUGGUAAAGAGGAGACCGGCGGCCCAAAACAAUUCUGCCCAAGACCUGUCCAAUUUCGGCCUCGAUGGCCCAGUAUCAAAUAGCCCCGGCUUUAUGGGCUUGGUUUUUUUAAGGGAAAAGGAGGGACUGACAGCCGAUGGAAAAUACGAUAGGGGGUUACGCUGUAAGCACAGACGAACAGUCGCGGUCCAGUCCGGUAAAAUAACAUCCAUGGUUGCAUACCACGCUUUCAGUUACGCCGAGUUUCUCUAAGAAAAAAAAAAGGUUACGCAAAAGAGUUCGCAGCGGGCAACAUCGUGUCUCGAAGGUGUUUGCCUCGCAAGCAAUCACGCCAGUAAACCCUUGAUCAUUAAUUGAGGCCGACCGCGUCUCCCUCCUGCAAGCCUGGAACCGUGGCACGCUUGUUUGGCCACCUAUUAGAGACAUUAUCUCUUCUCUCGCAGAUGGUCCAAACUUCCUUUCUUGCGAAGGUUCAGAGAGCUGGCAAACAGUGUAGCGUAUGAACUAGGCCAGCCAGACAGUACGAAGUACAGGUCUCAACGACUACUGAGGUCGUGUGUGUGUCAUUCAUUGUGUGUUUAUAUAUCCAACCUCUUCUUCUAAUAAAAGCUUUCUGUUAUUUGUCGACCAAAAGAGGAACCAAAAUAGCAGUCCCCUGCAGAGCUACUACAGCCUACAGAUGCACUGAGUGUACCUUAGUGUGGUGAGACGAAAAGAGAGACUCUCUGUUCUUCUACUUUUUGACCGUAAACACACGUCCGAUGCGAUGAGAUAGAUGAGCUAAAGAAUGCUUCGGUUCUCUUUUUACCGUUGCCAUGAUACAGUUGGUAUGGGUGCCCUACCAUGACAACUCAUAUGUGGACCAGUGCUUAACAGCAGCACAUGGCCGCAACAUGCUUCAAUUAUUUCAACCUUUGGAAUUGGAUACCCUCACCGAAUUGACAACCCGGCAUCUCCAAACAAACCUCAAAGUACAGAGCAUCGCUCAGAAAGAAAAAAAUCCCCCCAGGAAAAGAAAAGCUUAUUCUGCAGUUUUGCCUAGCCACUUGCAAUGCUCGAUUGGCUGAUGGAUUCUUUAGUUUUACAAAGCCAUUUGCAAUGCUCGGUUGGCUGAUGAUCGAAGAUCUUAAGUCAUAGGGACAUAUUCCUCUUUUUUUUUAGGGAAAGAAGACAUAUUCCCGUUUCCUUAGCGUGUUCUUUGUUUACUGACAGAAGGCAUGAGGUUCCCCUUUUGAACCAUCAAAAGCUUUGUUUCAACUGACGGCUAGAAAAUGCGUUGUGUAUAUAUGUCAAAUGUUCAGAUGAUAAGUUGGCGGCUGGACAGAGUUCUGAAUUUCACAGCACAAAAUUUCCUCAAAACGCAUUACUGCAAGACAGUAGCAUCAAGGCUGUUGUUGAUUUAGAAGCUGAAGAAUUAAGAAUGAAUCAAUCAAAUAAAUGGUCUCAUUCAUAGCAAGAACAAGGGUAAGUACAUGAUCGAUCACCACCACCACAAAGAAUGGCACGCCGGCGCACGCACUACGUCACACACACACACACUCACGCACACCUCCCCCCCCGGAGCAGGACACCGCCGCGACCCAUACAUACACGCACGCCCACACGCCCAAACACACACCUCCACACGACACCAAGGAGCAAACCAAGAGACAACCAGGAACCGCGGAACCGCACGCGACGGAGCCACAGAUCUAGCAGAAGAGGUAUCCGAAGGCGGCGGCGGCGAAGGAGGCCGCGGCGAGGGGCAGCGCGGCGGCGGCGGCGUCGGAGGCGGGCGCCGGUGCCGGGGCCUCGGCGGCGGCCGCGGAGGCGACGAGCGCGGCGGCCAUGGCGGCGGCGGCGACGAACUUCAUCCUGAGACCGGCCAUGGGUGGUGGUAGUAGUGCUCUCGUCGGCGUCGGAGGAGAGAUCUCUCUAGGAGCGUGGGAGCUGGCUAGAGAGAUGCUCUGCGCGCGGAGACGGAGGAGCUAGCUAGGCGGCUUUGUGGAUGGAGGUGGGAGGGAGAGGAGCGCAGUGGGGGAGGGUUAUAUAGCGAGCGAGGCCAGGUAGGUCGCGUAGGAAGGAGAAGAGUACGGCUGGCCGUUUGUUCGUUCGCGUUUGGUUAGGCUGGCGCUGCGGUUGGGGCGGCCGGGAUCCACUCUGGCUGACCAAGCUUCAAGUUUGAGCGCGUCUCCGGGCGGGCACGCGCGUCGGGUUGUUCGGCACUACUGCUAGCUCGUUCGUCCAUCAAUAAACGUGCGCGCUGCGCUUGCUUCCUUGGUCAGUUCCUUGUUUAAUCCUUCCUCGGGGUUCGUUUUUAAGAGGGCUGGACUUUCGUGUUGAGUCGGAAAAUUUGUGUGACGGCAAAAUAAGGCUAGUUUAUAGUUUAUACUGCAAGUAAUUUUGACAGUAACAUAGAUGCCAACUAGACAUUUUGGUGACUUGGCAUGACAAUAAAUGGAAAAAAGAGUGAUGUGGUAACACAAAUCAAGACAGGAUAAGUUUACACGACAAUUAAUGACACAAUGCAUGACACCCCACAUAAAUUACUAACCAAUAUGAAGGUAGUUAUGUUAUUACUCUAAGUUACUCCGCAUGAACAGCCUAAGGGAAUGCUGGCACGUCUAUUUUCAAUGUCAAUGCUGGCACGUCUAUUUUCGUGAUGAAAAGUUAUCACUAAUGUACUAUAUUUAUAAGGAAACAUGAAAUGCCGACGGUAGCUUGAUUAUUACACAACCCGUGCUUCAUUAUUUCCAGCACAUCGUUCGUUCAUUCAAGGAAAGUGUCGCCUCCCGAUUGUUUUGUCUUAGGAGAAGAUGCACGGGGAUUAAUAACAUUCUUCCGGCUCAGCUGUUUUGGAGCACGAGCCCCAGCCGGUACCACAGAGAGAACGUGGUUUAGAGAGGAUCACAGGUGCAUGGGCAUGAACUCAUGGGGAAGACCAGCCAGCCAGCCUAGUGGGAACAGCUGGCGCGACAGUUGCGAAAUGGACCCCCAACGAACGAAUUAGCUGUCAAAAGUGAGCAAAUAAACGAACCGCAGCCCGGGCCAUGCCACCGGUGCGUGCAUGCGUGCUACAGUACGCUUCCUUCUUCUUUGCCCAUCCCAUCCUGUCCAUAUUCCCCUGAUUAUUUUUGCGGCAAGGUUGGCCGGAGCAUUUCGCCGGAGGCCAUUUACGUUACGAGUUGCGACAAUUGGCAUGGCUUCGGCCGGUACGAAAGAGCAUAUGCGAGCUGCCAUUCUGGCUUCUGAUUGCGGCCGGCUAACCGACUGAAAACGCGUGUAGAGAAAAACAACAACGUAGCUUCUCGUAUUCUUUCGCGGCGGGAGAGGUUUCCGGUAGUGGUAGAUCAAAGGUGCACUUCACGUAGGAGUAGUUGAUAAGUUGAAGAAGGCCUGGUCUGGACGGGAAGGUCGUGGCGUGGAGUCGGAAUUCCGCGGGAGCUUUUAACGCGCGCUCCUCAGACUUCUCGUUCUUUACACCCAAGGACCGGGUUAUUUAUGGUCGUCGCUUUCACGGCGUGCGCGUGGUGAACCGCCUUUCUUCUCCCCUAGCGUCACGACACCGGCCGCCCGGGGCGCACGCCGAAGUUAUGGCCAUCCCAGCGGCGGGGGCGGACGUAGGCGGACGUGUCGUGUGGUUCGUUGCGUCCUGGGGGACGCUCGUGGGCGUGGAAGGAAUGGUGCCGCACUGUGGGAAUCAAGAGAACAUUUUGAUGGCAAACUGUAGAGUGCUACUCCCUUAUUUUCCACAGGAGUUAAACCUAGCGACAGAUCGUAUAAUCUCUCGUUGUGGGUGCGCGUCAGUGCGUGUCAGGAGUGAUCACCAGACUUCCGGGUACACGUAUCGUGAUUUACCAGUAACCGUCGCAUCAAUUUUCUUAGAAACUGCACCGAGUAAGCCGGCAGAACAAUGGCUUUAUUGAUUCAUUAAAAAAAUUAUACAAUAAUCAAUACAAUCGUUACGAACCAAGGGAGAUUCAUCCUAUCAGCAUGGUCGGGCCCAGCUUUAUUAAAGGGUAUUCAGUUGAACACCCAUCAAAUUUUGCAAAAAAAUGAAUAUGUACACCAUGUAUUCUCUAUGUAUGCAUGUAAAUAAGAUUUUGGGACUAAACUCAAUGGUAUUCCAGCAUUGAGUGUAAAUAUGGACUAGUCCAUCUCUCUUCUUCCUCCUCCAAGUUGGACCAAUGCUCCAAAUAGGAUUUCGGAUCGCCGAAAACCGAACUAUAUGCUCGACACAUGUAGUCUCGUAUGACCUUUAUUGAUGUCGAUCUACUCCUCACAUCUCCUCGCCUCCUUCUAAAUCCCCAAACAGACAUGUCUCUGAUUCUAAAAGCCUAGCGACUGCUCCUACCUCCUCAUUUACUCUGCUCCUCGAUGUCCCCGCCUUUGGGUUGACCGCUGCUCUGUGAUUCGUUGCUUCCGCCAUCCCACGGUUUCACAUGUGCGUUGAGUUGCGCACAACAGAAUAACGUCUCAAACUCUCGAUCAGAGACGCAAAUAUUUGCAAUUUUGAUUAGCAAAUUUUCAGAACAAUUUUGAAUCCUGGGCCCGCCCCUGCCUGUCAAAUCCAUCUUUGACAUCUCCACAUUCCUUCAUGUAUGUAUACCCGAUAAGAGUCCUAUUUGCAUCAUUUUUCUCUCACUUAGUUAACCUUUUAGCAUCAUGUUUUUCCUCAAAUCUGAAUGCUAUAAGUACAGUAUAAUAUUUGAUAAAAAACAGAUUUACACCAUGCGUAUUAUUUUUGCUGCUCCACCUCCGUGGCCACGCCGGCGUGGCGGCGCGCCACGAAGCUCGCUACACCGUGCCCCCGACCUGCUGCUGCCCCUCCUCCACUCCGAUGACAAGAUGCUGCACCCCAUCGUGACAAGCAUCUACAGCCCCUGCUGCCCCUCACGCACGUUCAGCAGCGACCAAGGAAACCAAUGACUUCGACGAGCACGAAGACCCCAUGCAACUUCUUCCCCAUUUCCAACUUGUGCUUCCCCUAUCUCCUAAGAUAAUCCACAUCCGAUUCUCUCCCUUUUCUUCCUUUUGCUUGUUGUUUGUAUGAACUGAAAGUGAGAACUCGUGUUGAUUUUGUAGAGCCGCAACCUGUUUGUUUAAAUGUCGGUGUGAGAUCUUGAUGAUUAUUGUGUUGUUCAACUAUGAUGAUAUUUGUGAGCUAUAUAACUGUCUUUUGUCCCGUGAUUUGUGUGCAAUAUAUACAGUGAAUGUGAUUUAAAUUUUUAUGAUAAAAUAUACAUGUGUUGCCCUGUUAUGAACUCUCUCCUUUUCCUAAACAAAUCGAUUGUUUUCUUGUCUUAUCUGUUUGCUCGUGAGAUUACUUGUUGUUCCUGUUAAUUGUCUAUGUAAAUCUGCCUCUGUCUUUGAUGUUUGCUUGUGUUAGUGUUUUAGUUAUCUAAAGUAAAACAAAAAUCACAAAAAUAUUGUUUAAGUGGUGUCUUUAUUUUUGGUUUGAAAAUUUCCCACAGUGCUUGAUUGACCUAGUUUUAGUUGAAGCCCGAUUGUUCAUCGCCUAGUCCCUGAGGAGAAACGAUAACCCGAAGUUUGGGCGAAAUACCCACUGCUAUUCUACACUCAACCAAUACUCAUAAUUUUUGAAAAGUUGUAUGUGACGUCCACUUUUAAACAUGGGAAAAUUGGCUGGGGGACACCGUUAUUUUGUGGCCUUUGCUGAAACACACCGUCGGAACGUGUCUUUGUCCAGUACCAUUACAAUUUUGUCGACAUUUGCCGGAGCACAUUGUAUGGUCCAAAACGGAAAGUUUGACUUUUUUCACAUUGAGUUAUCAUUCUAUCCUUUAGCAAAUGUGUAUAAAAUCUUUUAAACUCUCUGUUCGAAGCGUUUUCCUCAUGCAGAGUGCAGCAACAAAGGAGAUGAACGCCCACAUCGAGCAACAACGGACCCUAGUAGAUGUCAAAAAUCGAUUCGUACAAAGGAAAAAAGUUUUCAAAUCGGAUUUACGAUGGUAGUCCCAAGUAAAAAUGCCAAAUUCUCGAUUUCAGUCGACGCACUGUGUUCUAACAAAUGUCCACAAAAUUGUAAUGGUCAAAAAUACAUUCCAACGGUGUAUUUCGGCAAAGCCACAAAAUAACGGUGUCUUCCGGCAAAUUUCCUUUUAAACAAUGAGAACUUUAAAUCAUUGAACACAUUACAUUAUUAUCAGGGUCUACGAGUCAAGAAACAGCGGCUCGUUGAAGUAAGCAUACGAGACUAGUACAGAUUACAGAUUAUGUAAAGAAAGCAUUCUCGUUUUUUUUUAGCCAAAGAAAGCAUUCUCGUUGGAUUCCGUUUCAGGCUGUAUUUGGUUCAAGCUCCGUUUAGCACACACGAGCGGCCCACGAAUCUGGGCCAGAUCAAGCCGAGCUCAAGUACCUCUCAACCGGCCCAUCUCGGAAGCAUUCAAGCCGGGCCGAAGUGCUCUUCUUCCCAACGCCCGCAAGCUCUCGCGGCUGCCGUUCUGCCAAGCGACCCCCAAAGCGGCCAGCAAGCCUCCUCCGCUCACACUGACACACAAACACCACAAAGGCGUGCACGCAAUGAGGCCCUUCCUGCUCACGCCGGGCGCCCGGCUCGCGUCGGCCCCCUCGCCGUCAACGCUCUCGCGCCUGCUCCUCCCACUCCACCUACAAAACCGCCAUGCCCACGCCUCCCCCUCCCCCUCCCUCCACGCGCGCACCAACCGCUCCUCGCCGCCUCUUCGCCGCCGCAGCGGUCGCUUCUUCGCCUCCUCCGCCUCGUCCUCUCAGGUCUGGCUGGCCUCUCCGCCUGGCGCCUAAAACCUAGUAUUCGACCUGUUUGGGUGGUUACGGACCAACUGUUCGAUGGAAUGCCUCGCCUGCUGCGAUAGUGGUUUUGGCUGACGGUUUCCCGGUGUUUGGCCUGUGUUGCAGAUGGCGGCGCCUGCCGAUGCCCCGGGCGGAUCCGCGGACGCGUUUGAGGUGAUCCGCGCUCACCAGGUGCGGCCCUUGGCCUGGAUUUGCGUGGGGAUAGUACUAUGCAAAAUUACAACUUGUAAAACGAAAAAUCCGGUGACUAUCGGCCAGUAGUAGCACGCCAGCCCCUUGGGAUUCUAUAAACAUUUUUAUAAUUUUGAGAACUGAGGAUUUGACAAACUUAGGGCAAGGUACUCGUUGCAUUUUUUUUUUUCAGAACCACGUCCUGGGCUGGGUAUAUGUUACGGAAUCAGAUAGAAUUACCAGGAUGAUUAAAUACUGUACUGCGAGACAGGCUUAAAAUCGUUCCUCUGUUUUGGUUUUUUAGAUAAUUAGUACGCGAGCAAAAAGAAACAUAUCAUCAGUAAUUGACAAUGAUAUGAAGAGUUUUACUCGACACUAGCCCACAUUUUAAUGUUAUGGGAUUCUCUUCUGGCCGACUGUUCAUCCAUAUUCCCUACCCAAACCAAUGUCAGCUGAAUUUGCAAGAUAUGCCCUUCAUGUGCCCUAUUAGAUAUUUGAAUGAUCAGCCGGUGGAACUAGUACAUGCAAUAUUUGUGAGUUGUGACAGCUCCGAAUAAAUACCUUAAUAAGGUAUAAAGUUGUCUUAGAUUUUUAAUAAAGAGAACUCUUAAAGAAUGUAGGUUUUACUCCUUUGCCAUCUCAAGGCCUUUCUUAUUCACUCAACAUCGUCAUAAUUAUAGGUAAAAGCUGCUCGGCUUCCUCCUAUUGAAGAAAUACGAACCAUUCUCGACCGGAGUGUCAGGGGUGUUCUGGCCACCCAUUCCCAGGUAUGCUAAGAAGUAUUCUUGUAUUUGCAUUAUUAGUGGACAUACAUUUUGCCAGUCUUUUCCAGGAUCUGUGAUUUUACAAUUUUAUUGAAAAUAGUAAACAUUGAUUGCCUUGUGGAUAAGUGAAGAGUGAGCCUGGUCCUAUUUCUGUGAAGAGCUUCUCUUGAUUAAUGAUUAUGAAGCUUACUAAUUUUUUUAAACUGCUUAAUAACCUCAAUUUUCAGUUUUCAUUGAAAUGUAACACGUGUUUGCCUUGGUACCUCUCACAUAUUUAGUACAACGAUACAUAGUUUUGUACUAUGUUAUACUUGAACGGAUUGUCUCCUUCCUGCACAUGCCUUUUUUGUUUUAUGAUUUUGUGAAUGAUGAAGGCAAAUGCAAUAUUCUUUUGUUGUCGAUUAGUUGAUUAGAGGAAAGCAAUUUGUAGCUUUAAAAGUACAAAGCAGGUGAUAGUGCAGAGUUUUACGUUUUACAGUGACCUUUUUGGAGUAUGUAUAAAAUGUCAUUCUGUUUACAGGAACAUGUAGGUUAUCCAUCGGGUUCAAUGGUUGAUUUUGCUUGCGAUCAAGAUGGUUCCCCCAUAUUAGCAGUGAGCAGUUUAGCAGGUCACUCGAAGGUAAGAUCGUUUUAUAGUCUCAUGAUUACUAGUAUGUUGGUACGUGUGCAAGCACAUAUUGAAACUACUAUGACAUGAAUUUAAUAGAAAACAUUUAUGGAACAUAUUUUAAAUAGAGUAUCAUGAUUGUAAGAUUGUUGAGGCAAGGAAGCUAUCAAUAUAACAAUGUUGCUCUGCUGUAGCUAUGAUAUUUCAAUUCUUGAAAUGGGUUAUUGUAUUGCAAAAUGUGUUUAAACACCCAACUCUAUAUGAACUAUAAAAUAUAAGUAUAAGAUCAUUAUAUAUAUGUAUAAAAAUAUCAUUAAUCUGAGGCGUGCAUGUUUGUUCAAAGAAAAAGACCUCCGAACUUCUAGUGUUGGUGAAACUUGGUGUGAAGCUAUGGACAAAUGCGACAUUACCAAACACCAUCUCAAAUUAUUCACAAGUGCAUGGAGUAGUGAAACAAUAGACUAUACUAUAUGCAUGAUGUUUUAGGGGAAACAACAGGGCAACCUAGCAUCUACCAUUAGUUCACUUCAAGUGUAGCACAGUUUUACAACACAGGACAGUGAACCAGCACAACACAAUUGGCAGUGCAUUGUUUUUUCAUGAAGGAGGUGGUGGUUUCGAUCCUUGGUGUCUGGAGUUUUUCUAUCCCCAUGUACCCAAGAAGUUGAUCUGGCAGUCAGCAUUGACACUUUGCAUCUGUUGGAUGCAGCAGAUCGAGCGGCUAAUAUCCAAACUUAUUCUGACGCUUCAUAGCAGUAUAGGUUUAUACAUGUAAAAAAAAACUGUUGACACUUUUUGACAUGCAUGGAGGCCUUACACGUUUAGUGAUAUUACUCUAACACACAUGAUAACACUGACAGGAAUACUAGUACAUGCGUGUCGUGUGGACAUAAAAAGCAAGAAGGAUAGACAUAAAAAAUUUAAAACUGAUGGCCAGUAUUCUGUGAAAAGAAUAGCUGCCCUGCAUCUGCUAAAUUCAGAAGAAACAAAAAUGAGUUUUGUUUCCAUUUUACCAUAGUUCUAUUUUGUUUCCAACAUUUUUGCAGAAUCUUUCUGGAAGUUCUAAAUGCUCACUUCUGGUUGCCAAAGACCCAGAGGACAGAACAGAUACUGUAAUCACUGUAUAUGGUGAUGCGACACCUGUAAUUCCCUCCUCUGGCUCAACCUAUAUAUUUUUGUGCUCAUGUCCUGAUAGAUUUCUGUAGCGAUACUUUGCUAAAGAAUACUGUACAUGUUUCCAGAUAAUUAUGUGGUAGCUCAUUUCUUCUUUUUUUACUGUAAUGUGGUGGCUCAUUUCUCAUUUGGUUUUCUAUCUCAAAGGUUUCAGAUGAAGAAAAAGAUGCAGUGAGAAGCGCGUACUUACGGAGACACCCUGAGGCAUUUUGGGUAUGUUUGAUACAUCAUUACUGUUUCUAAAGUAAUUGAAGAAUAUCACACUGAGUACUAGUUCUGAUGCAAAUUCUCCAAAUCAAGGUUGACUUUGGUGACUUCCGUUUUCUGCACAUCAAACCAAAAGCUGUGCGUUAUGUAUCUGGGGUUGCAACAGCUAUCCUUGGCUCUGGAGGUACGUGUACCACCUUUUUGAAUGUCCUAGUUAAAGCUACUCACCAUCACUACUUCCUAUUUCUGCAUGUAGAAUCUGAUUUAGCCUCUGUGCUGAAGAUAAAUUCAUUUAACGUGAAUACUGGUGCACUUAGAAGAUGCAAUUCUUUAGGAGGAUGAUGCCAGACUGGCUUCACUCCACUCUGCAUUUUAUACAGGCGGAAGGCAUAAUAUCCUCUAUCGUGUUAGCUGCCUUUUCCUUCUACAAGAACCAGAUGUCCAUUGGUCUAAUCAACUGUUCAUUUGUUUUUGAGUUGCUAUGUAGUGUUCCUGUGACACUCAUCCUAUGCUCCUAUAGCUAAUUUUGUCGAUUUCUCUAAAUACAAAAUAUAGUAUGAUUUGGUGAUGAUGGUGCCUGAGAUAUUAUUCUGUUCUCCACAUCCCCAGAAUUUAGUGCUGCUGAGUUCAAGGAAGCAAAAGUGGAUCCUAUAUCUCAAUUUUCCACUCCUAUUACAGUAUGUUUUAAUAUUUGCUGAAGUUCAUAGUAAACCUACUGAUCUUUCAUUGGCAAAUUUAUGCUCAAAUUUAGCUGUAUAUAUUCCACAGAGCCACAUGAAUAAGGAUCAUGCUGAUGAUACCAAGCUCAUUGUGCAACAUUCAACCAGUGUUAUGGCAAGUGCAAUAUAAAGCUUAAGUACAUGGUGUUUCGUCAUGAAUGUCACUCUACAAAGAUAUAAGAUACCUAUAUUUUUCUGAGACAGUUAUAUACUCCCUCCGUUCCAUAAUUCUUGUCGAAAUAUUACAUGUAUCUAGACACUUUUUAGGAAUAGAUACAUCCAUUUUUUAGCAAACUUGAGACAAGAAUUAUGGAACGGAGGGAGUACUUAUGUAUUCUUUUCAUUUCAUAUUUCAGUUUCUUUCUGUAUAACUAGUAUUUUAGUUAUUCUAUGGUAUGACGCGGUAUGUUUAGUCUGAAAAAGGAAAUGUUAGUUCAAGCAUAUGGUUCUUUCCCAAACAUAAGCUGGAAAAAGUGUAAGCAUCAGUACAUCACACAUAUCUAUGCAAGUCUUGACUCAGUAAAACAGCUGCACAAUCAACACUUACUAGGCCAGUUUGCCAAUGACAAAAGCAAUUAGCUUUAUAAUCUAGCUGAUAUCUCUCCUUAUCUGCUUAGUCUUUUGGGCACCAUGAACUAUUACUAUUAGUAUUACAGUAUGCUGAGUCUUGAACAUGAAUAACUGCUUUAGAUUCGAAGCAUUGUGUAGGUUGUCAGUCUUAACUACUAACAGAGUACAGACCAUGUGGUGUCCAUCGAGCAUAUAGUAGCACAUGAGUUAUACAUAUUAAAAGAAAUGUUAAUGUUUCAUUUCAAUAUAUUGAGGGAUGAGAAAUAUAAGCUAUUUCAGGUGGAUUUUGCUUCUAUGCUGGAUGUCGAUAGCCUUGGUAUUAAUGUGAAGGUAACAACUCUAUGACAUCUGUGUCUUGUUCUUGUUUGCUAAGAACAUAUCACCAAAUCGCACUAAUGUAUCCUGGGAAUACUAUUCUUUCUUCUUCCAAGAAACAAUCCUGAAAUGCAGUUUACCCUCAGCACCCACAGCCAACAAUGUCAUAUGUACUGUAUUUAAUGGUUACAUCAUAACUGAAAACAAAAUGUGCAAUUUAUUCUUUAGGGCUAUUCGAUGAUUGGGCAAUGAUGCACAUCUUUGAAUUUAUUUGAUCAGAGCUUUAAUGUGCUGCCCUAUAUUCUAGUGAAAGCCCAAACCUGUGGUGACAUUGCACUCAGCACUUUCCUAAUUGUGCAGGCUGGUUAUGAUGGAAGUGUUCUGAAGCUGCGUAUCCCCUUCCCUAGGCGUGCACAGGACAGAAAGUUGGUCCCUGUUUUGUUGUGUUUUUUCUCGUAGUAUGCAUACUACUUUAUCCACUCUGCUCUAUGCUUAUCACUGUAAUGAUGCUUAUACGGUCAUACCUGCUCUUCUCAUAAUGGGGUUUAGGGUCCUGUUUAAAUUAGGCUUAAACAUGAAUACAUGGUCAUGUAUUUUCUUCUCCUGUCCUGCUCCACUGUAUGCAUAGAACUGUUCUAGUGUUCAUUGUGUAUUGUAUUCUUUACGAAUGAUUAUGCAUUUUCUGAACACUUAUGUUCCUCAAUAACUCCUAGGUCUACAAUCUGCUGAAUGGCGGAUUAAUUGAUGACUAGACACUGUCAUUCUGACUACUUACCCUUUUUUUUUUGCGACAACUCAUUCUGAUUACUUACGUGACUGACUCUAAAUGGUCUUGUUGUUCUGCACAGGGAUGUGAAGACACUUAUUGUGGAAAUGCUACAGGCCGCAAAAGCCUCCUCCUCACAUGCUGAAUGACCUGUUUUCUCGGAUGGUGGUGGCUUUGUUCAUGUAAAUGAAAAAAGAAGAAGCCUAAAUCAAUGUCGUUGAAGAUUGAUCCACACAGAAUUCCAUUGUUUCAUGCAUCAGCGAACCAUUGUAACAAUGAACAGUCCACUUGAACUUCGUAAGUGAAUGCAAAGCGAUUUGUAUAUUUUUUUAAUGAACCGUUUUGCCCCCAUACAACUCUUUCAACUGGUUGUUCACUAGAAAAAGCUUAUCCUGUUGGAAGGAUUCAGAUACGGAAAGCAUAUUCUUUUCACGUUCUAUAAUCCAUGUGGACAGUCAACUGGCGAGUUGUAAGAUGGUUUGAUGAGAUGAAACAUGAAAGAUAGAAAAAAAAACAUUGUUGUUGGUGUUGGCAUCAUAUCCUUAGCAAAAGUAUAUCUAACACUCCCUCUGAUCCUAAAUUAUUGUCGUUGUUUUAGUGCAAAUUUGAACUAAAACAACAACAAUUUAGGAUCGGAGGGAGUAACAUCUAAAAGAAAACCGGCACAGGGCCUUUUGUAUUUGCACGAUUCCAAAAAUGCAGAAAUAGAAAUGGAUAUCACGUCAUUAUGCUCAAUCCUACUUCCUUCGAUCCAUAAAAAGUGUCGCCCACUUAGUACAAAAUUUGUACUACUCCCUCCGUCCCAUAAUUCUUAUCUCUAAUUUGCCCAAAUGAAUGUAUCUAUUAUUAAAGAAAAGUCUAGAUACAUGUAAUAUCUCGACAAAAAUUAUGGGACGGAGGGAGUAACUUAGUACAAAAUGUGCAACACUUUUUAUAAAUCAGAGGAAGUACAUGAAUUCUUCCUGAAAAAAAAUUCCUAUGUAAAUUUAAAAAACUGGAAUAUUUAAUAUAAAUUGUUUUGUCUGAAAACUAUAACAAACCAUUUGGUAGCCCUAAUUUCAUUUCAGUAAAAAAAUGUAUCAUUUCAUUUGGUUGAAUUUGAAUUUUGGAUUGAAAAAUCUUGUUUGUCUGCCACAUAGAUUUCUACAAUGAGAGACAAAUCUAGAGAAAAUGAUGCAUUUUAGAGAGAAACUGAGGUCAGUUAUAGAUGUGAUUAUAUGUAAUUUUGAUUGAAUUCAUGUAUCUAAUUCCGUGUCAACCAAACAAGUUAGUUCCUAAAAUCCAAAAUGAAGUUUGAAAUUCUCUCCAAAAGAGUUUCUCCUUGAUUCCCUUGAUCUUUAAGUUUGUCCUUGUAAUUUUUUUAGGGUAGGUUGUUUUUUCUCUUCGUGGUUUUUGUUUUCUGUAUUUUUUUUAUGAAUCAAUAAAGUCAAAGCAUUGUUUUAAAAAGUGCUUCAAAAUAAUUAGUAUUUCCUCCGUCCAACAAAAGAUAUCUCAAAUUUGUCAAAAUUUGAAUGUAUCUAGACAUGACUUAGUCUAUAGAUGCAUUCAAAUUUAGUCAAAGUUGAGACAUCUUUUGUUGGACGGAGGGAGUAAGAGUAUUACGUUAAAAGAAGUUUAAAUGGGAAAGUUUGGAAUGGAAAAAAACCGUCUCACUGGAGGAGGUAAAAAUCGUCUCAACGUCGCCGUCAGCUUGCUUUUCCGUUUCCUCUUCCUCGCCGCGACGCUUCUUUCUGCCCCUCCUCACUCCCCAGUGUCCACCUCCGAUUCUCAGCUCUUUCAUCACCGAGCACGCGGGGGCGAGUAUCCGACCGAGCACGCGGGGGCGAGUAUCCUAGGCUAGCGCUUGUCGAGCCCCGCCCCGCAUCCACUCCUCUUCUGCCGUGAAGCAACGACGGCAGGCGGCGGCAGCAGUAGCGGCGAGCCGAGGGCCGAGAGGGAGAAAUGGAGUACAGAAGAGUGAAGGAUCAGGUGAGCAUCACCCGAAACCCUAGGGAAAUGCCACAAACGCCGACGUGACGCUGGUCCUGACUGGCCUUUAGGUUAGAUCGCUGCGGCGGCCGAUUUUUUUCUUUUUCAGUUUUUGUUUGCCUUUAUUGUCACCAUAGGCUUCCAAGAUUUCCCCGUCGCCCGCGGUGUUUUAUGUCACUGGAAUGUGGUACAAUAUUUGUUUCCUAUUAGUUCGAUUGAGGAUAUUUGUAGAGUGUUAAGAGUGUCGGUGGUCAUCUAGUCGUGGUUAUACUGGUUAGUGCCCACUGAGAAUCCGUUAGAGAAUUGAAAUUCUGGAUUAGAAUACGUUAGGGACUGCCGUGGUCAAGGACUUUAAUUUGUUGAAGAGUUCAGUAUUAACUCAUUGGGAGCUGACUUCGAAAUUUUGGUGACUGGUCUCAAGAAUUAUCUCCAUUGGGGUUUUCUGAACCUGACUAACUAACGCAUUACUGAUGAGUUAAGAUUGUAGUGAUGCCCGCAGUGGAUCGCUGAGAAAUGUCGACACUCCAGAACAACGCUCUUUAAGACAUUCUUACGUAAUUCCAAAGUUUAGCCGUGCAUUUUUUUGCCUUGCUUGUAACUAGUUGCAUUUUUGUCUUAUAACUGACUGCAAGUCUGAUUAACUGCGAUCGAUGUUUAAUUUUUGUAAUUUACAAAUUUGAUUGGCAAAUGCGUUUGGAUAUUCAAAGAGUGGCGUUCUUGCAUUAUCUAAAAAAAACAGCACACUCCAGAACAACGCUCUUAAGACAUUCUUAUGUAAUUCCAAAGUUUAGGCGUGCAUUUCUUGCCUACCUUGUAACUAGUUGCAUUUUUCUCUUGUAACUGACAGCAAGUCUGAUUAAACUGUGACCGAUGUUUUUCUUGUAUUUACAAAUUAUAUUGGUAAAUGCAUUUGGAUAUUCAAAGACUGGGUAUUUGGGCACAGCAUCUUGUAUGACUUUUAGCCAUUGAUGAACUUAUUAGUUUGUACAUUGUUCUUCUGAGACAAUGGAGUGAAGUAACUUGAACUCAAUUUAACCAGUUAAACAUUGCUCAGUUAAGUUGAGUUGGGCGUGAUUUCAGAAACAGAUUUUGCAUGUUAUCAUAUUAGAGGUCAGAGCAGACUAGUCUAUUAUGACGUAAACUCGCAACACGACUAAAUUUGUUCAGUCGUUUUAUCCUGUUGAUGUUUGCCACCAAUUGGUAGCCUGGGGCUGAGCUAAAUUUCAAGCUCUGGCAAUGUCUUAAUAUGUUUGAAGUUCUGUGGGUUACAAUAAACUCGUACUUUAUCAAUUGUGUUGUGUGCUGACAAGUUGUCUUAUCCUGUACAAUCUAAAGGAGAGUUAUGAUGUCAUAUCUCAGAAGGACAUAGAAAGCCCUGAUGGGAGGACUCUUUCUAGCAGUAAGCUCUUGUUUCCUCAUUGAAAUCUUCUCUUUGGAUGUUCUAUAAUCAGGAACGUCACAUCUUUAAUACUUGUCCUAUAUACAGCCACAGCAACUUCCACCCUUGGCGCUGCAGGAGGUCUGAAGGGCAAGCAGAGCUGGAAGCAAAAGUAAGAGUUAAUUGCUGCAAUCUUUGUGCUAUAUGCCUAUAUCACAUGCUUGCUGAAAAUCAAAAGAUUCACUGGCAACUGUUAAUUGCUAUGGCAGGUCUGUUGUUACGAUUGCAUUGACAUUACUAACAAGUUCUCAGGCAAUACUUAUCGUGUGGUCAAAAAGAGCUGGAAAGUAUGAGUAUAGUGUCACAACAGCUAAUUUUUCGGUGAGAAUUUAUUUUUCAAUUAAGUUUAAGUUCUCUCUUGGUGAUGGUAGGAUCAGGAGCUUUCCUUUUGCUCUCUUCAUACCAUGAUUGAGUUAUGUAUUUAUUUAUGCCUAGGUCGAAGCUUUAAAAUGUCUAUUGUCACUUUUAGCCCUGUAUAGAACAUGGAACAGUCAAGGUGUUACAGAAGAUAAUAGGUGAUAGUUCUACCAUAAUCUAGCGAUUGCUUUCCGAGUACAUAUUGUCUUGUUCCUACUCUAGCAAUUUAUUUUUAUUAUUUUCAGGUUAAGUACAUCGUUUGAUGAAGUUAGUGUUUAUCCUAUUCCCGCCAUACUUUACAUGGUAAAGAAUCUGUUGCAGGUAUGUCUACUCGUCAAGUUUUCAUGUGACCAAAUAAUUUCGUAUUUGUAACAACAAAAGCUUGACACAUACUUCCACUUUCUGUCAGUAUUACAUCUUUGCUUAUGUGGACGCACCAGCUUACCAGAUCCUGAAGAACCUGAAUAUCAUUAGCACUGGUGUUUUAUACCGUAUCAUUCUAAACAAAAAGUAAGCUCUACUCACUUAAUGUGGCUUUGGGAGUUGGGAAUAAGGGGAGAUGAUAAGCAGGGGCGGAGGCAGGAAAAAAAUAUAGGGAGGGCCAGAAUAGAAGGAUGAUUUAUUAGAGAGGGCCAAAACAUAAGAAAUGAAGCUCAUAUGAUGAAAUUGUAAAGAUUAUUCAGGGACUGAAGGUCCCUGCCUCCGCCACUGAUGAUAAGCUGUGUUCCUUUUACUACUUUGCCGGCAUCUUUAUAGCAGCCAAUUGGGGUCCUUUUUUCUUCUUCUUCUUCCUUUGAAGCCUUGUACUCCCUCCGUCCAAAAAUAAGUGACAUGGUUUAUACAAAUCCACGUCACUUAUUUCCGGAAGGAGGGAGUAAUAUAAUUUGGGAACUACACCUUGCAGAAUUUGUGAUUUUUCUGUUGUUAUUCUAGGAUGGUGAUUGUUGAACUUAUGUUCCAUCACUGAAUGCUUAUGUUCUUUCCAGGUUAAGUGAAAUUCAGUGGGCUGCAUUUAUUCUUCUAUGUGCUGGCUGCACUACGGCUCAGCUUAACCCCUCGUAAGCAAAAUAAGUGUGCAUUUUUUCAUUCUCUAGUUAAUUUGUUCAACUAACAUAAGUAAUAUGCUCCUUUCAGAUCAGACCAUGUUCUUCAAACCCCUAUCCAAGGUUGGAUGAUGGCAAUUGUGAGUCACAAACGAGAAAAUCAUUUAAUCUAGUCGUUUGGACAUGUUAUAGGAAGUUAUUUGAACUGAACUGGCUGAAUGUUCCUUCUUUUUCAGGUGAUGGCUCUUCUAAGUGGUUUUGCUGGGGUAUACACAGAAGUAUGUAACUUGGUGCAAUUGCUCCUAUUUGCAUAUAUUUUGAUUUAGAAGGAUUUAUUUGAUUGGACUCUGAAUUGUUUUGAGACAUAUUCAUCUUUGGACAAUGCAGGCUAUCAUCAAAAAGCGUCCUUCGAGAAACAUCAAUGUGCAGAAUUUUUGGCUUUACAUUUUUGGAAUGCUCUUCAAUUUAGUUGCCAUUUGUGUUCAGGACUUCGAUGCUGUCAUGAAUAAGUUAGUUGUGUUCAGAAUUACUUCGUAUCAUGUUAGAAUAUUCUGUUACAAUGAAUUAUAUUUCUUAUUUUAAUUCGACCAUGCCAUCUAAUGCAGAGGCUUUUUUCAUGGCUACUCAUUUAUUACAUUUCUGAUGAUCCUUAACCAUGCACUCAGGUACUGCUGCUAGAUGUUUUAACUGAUUCAAUAUUGGUUAUUUGGGAUUAACUUACCUUCUAGGUGUUCUUGUUUUGCUUUCCAGUGGAAUAGCUGUAUCAGUGGUGAUGAAGUAUGCUGACAAUAUUGUCAAGGUACAGAUUGUCAACUACAACUUUUGUGGGCUAAAUAAACAUGUGAUAAGUUAAAACCAUCUUUGCAGCAAAAUUGCACAUUCUAAUAAUUGUUUAUUAUUCCAUUACCUCUGAUAAUCCCUACUAAGCCACCGCUUCUUGUUUAAGUGGCAGUCUGUGAUGACAACCUUGGAUGUUAUCAUCAAGCUUUUGUCCUCACCUGUUGGUUUCAUUCAAAGAAAAGAUGUGAUUUAUUUACUCGUUGCAUGGCAUUAGAACCGUUCAUGCAUCACUAGUUCAACUUAAUUUUGGAUGGCUAUCUCAGUGAAAUUUUAUGCCAAGUGGAGAACUUUUGAUAUUUAUAUUAUCUCAGUAUUUUGUGUCUUGGUGGGCUACAAAAGUCAAUGAUGGAUUUAUGCAACUAUGGAUUCUAAGGCAGUUACCAGUCCUUUUACAACAGCAUGGUUGUUUUGCCUUACGUUUCAUGGCUUACAUUUAGAUUACAUCUUAGAGCAUGUGUUUUAGCAUGUCUGCAUUCUUAACAGCAACGACCUUAACCUCAUACAGCAUUAUGUCUAUACCUUCUUGAUAGGGAAUAAGUCACAAAUUCUGUAAGCUCACAUUUUCCACAUUCUGUUAUCUGAGAAACUAAGAUAUUUCACAUUCUGUUGUAUGGGGAAAUAUGUCACUGCACAAUCCAAUUAUCCAAAUAUGUUACCUCCGUUCCGGUAUAAAGGGCCUAGGCGUAUCCCUAGAUCGUUAAUUCAAUCAAUACAAUGUAAAUUGUAUAUCCAACAAUAAGUUAUACCAUUAGAAAAUAGAACAUUUGAAUUUCCUAUUGAUAAACUCGUGUUACAUUAGUUAAAUCGUUGACCUAAGGAUACGCGUAGGCCCGUUAUACCGGAACGGAGGCAGUACCUGAGAAACUAUGGUAAUAAACAAACCAUCUACUCCCUCCGAUCCUAAAUUAUUUCGAAAUAUUACAUGUAUCUAGACGCUUUUUAAGAAUAGAUACAUCCAUAUUUGGAUAAAUUUGAGUCAAGAAUUUAGGAUCGGAGGGAAUAGAUCUCUCUGAAAACACUCCACAGAUGUUCAUCCUUUCUAAAGCAAGACAUGAGACGCAUCAGCCUGUUAACCUGCAAAUUUGUGGGUGGUUUAACUGUCUUUAGAUAUCAAAUCUUCUGAUAUUUUAGAUACAUUGGAUUCUUUUAUUAGAGAUUCUUGAAUUAUUAUUGAGGUGGAUCAACAAUUUAUUGAUAUCACACUACUCUUUAGUAUUUACACAGUUGCACUAGUGUAUUCGAUCACCUAACUAUGUUUUCUGCAUACUUGCAGGUGUAUUCAACUUCAGUCGCAAUGCUUCUGACAGCAAUCAUAUCUGUCUUCUUGUUUGGGUUCCAUCUGUCCCUUGCAUUCUUCCUCGGAUCUACGUAAGUACCGAUGGAAGUGUGUAAUAACAAGUUAUCUCGAUUGAAGCUUUGUAAACCCAUGAUGGCCUAACAAACUCUCUUAUAAAUUCAGGGUUGUUUCUGUUUCCGUGUAUCUGCAUUCUGUCGGGAAGCCACAGCAGCAGAAAUGAGUUCGGCACCAUCUCUCCAAGAACUGGCAGCGAACGCUUCAAUGCUGCGUCAUGGAACGAUUCAUGGUAGCAAGCAACCCCCAACAUGUUUAACCACAACGGAGAUAGGAAUCUGUUCUUGAGCCAAGUUCCUUUUUGAACUGUCUUGAGCUAUGUUCCGAAGGACUUUAGUUUGAUCGAUAGCCAAAGGCGAUUACCUGUUGAUAUGUGGCAUAUGUCUAGCUCCAUUGCUAUCGUAACCGCAUGAGUGGUGGCAAACCCUCUGUUUACUCUUGCUUUGUGGCCAGAGGCUAGUUUCUUACCUGCGGAGGUCAGCUAGAUGUUUACCUAUACCAGGAUUAUUAUUCACACUGUAGCGAGAUCCCCCCCCCCCCCCCCCCCCACCCACCACGAGCUCCUCACUGUGAUUUCUCUUUAGCUCGAAAUUACCAUUCCUUUGUGGCUUGUACUGUAGAGGAACCUGCACAUGUCUGCAUGGCCCUAACACCCACAUUUGAUGGUCAACAAAAGAGAUGGCCAAACAGACAGCGAGACUCCUGCACAUGUCUGCACACGGAGCCUCGUCACAUUCACGAGCAUUUCUCAGUCCAGUCUCCACAGGCCAGCAACGCCGCCGUGUAGCCGUGACGUCCUUUUGCCAGGAUUCAAAAAAAAAAGAAGCGCCAAGUGGCCUUGAAGAUCUUCCGAGUCGAGCGUACGUUUCCCUCGUCAGACCGAGAAGAAAUGCUUUGAUCAACGUGUGGAGCUUGCCCGGAGACUGGCCAGAAGGAUGGGAGACAACGAGACUCCGUGCGUCCUCUUCGGGGUGGAUAUACUUGGACUUUCCACUUAUUUCAAACCACUUCGGCCCCGCUUGGCAUCCAGGAAAGUUUAUACUCCUGUAUCAGUUUAUCUUUUCCGGUCGUUUUGGGGCAAUACGAGCGUAAAAGAAAUCUGGAAACGACAAACCAAUCGCAAUUCUAAUCUUCGGGUGUAUAUUUUCUAGGGCCUGUAAAUUACACCGGUAAUGGGCCUCAAAACGACCAUCCAAGCAGGCCCGAACGUGGAUGAUAUAAGCCUUUUCGUCCCCUUUCAGAAAGGAAAAGGAAAUAAUCGACCGACAACGGAUGACCGGAAGGAACUGUAGACAAGGCCUCCCAAACGCAAAUGGAGACGCCGGCUCUAAAAAAACUCAUCCAACCCGUCUUCUAAAUCCAAAAAAUAGCCGGCGUGACCUAAAAACUUAGCCGGCGCCCGCAGACCACUCCCUACUCAUAGGGGCUAGCGGAGACGCCAGCUAAAGCUAAAAAACAGCGCGGGCCACCACUAUCGGUGAGACAAACCAAAUUUGAGGGGACAACGUUUGGGGAUGUGGGGAUGCGGCGGUCGCGAUUGGGCCUCAAACGAACAGCGUGCGCCGACGCCCCUCAUAUGCCCAUGGGGGAGACGAGGGCAGAUGCUCUAAGCUAAGCUAGCACUGCCUCCACUCCACUGGGCUGCACUGCAGCUGUACUUUGUGAUCUGCACACGCACACGGAUUCACGGGAGCACGACUCCAUCGCACAUUCAGGAACAUUUCAAAGCAAGUGCACGUUCAGCAUUAGUACAUCUCAGGGACUCCCCUCCUCUCGUUGCAAGUUUCCAUGCAUGGCCGCUAGCUCCAACUCUGCUCCUCGUUUUCUUUUUCUUUUGCUAAUCGCUCUGCUCCUCUUUGAUGAAAGGCUGUACGUGGCCCGUGGGAUCGAGCUGACACAAGGGGAAAAGGGUACGUGCCAAGUAGAAAGACGCCGCGCUUUAUCUGUGCUGUAUAUACUGGUAAAGUACCGGGUUUACCAGCGUGUAGUCUUCUCUGUGAAAAGCUGUCCGGCUAUGUUCCAGUGUGAACCAUUGCCACCAGCCGUUGGGAGAGGAUCAUCCUGCGGGAAGACCCUACAGCGAGCUUAAGAGCAACUCCAGCUGCCCCUCCUAAAGGCCCCAUAAAUGGGUUUCGGCGGCGUCGGCGCGAAAAAUCCGACCCAGCCGACCUCCCUAAAUUGUUUUCUUAGCCGACGUGGUUCAAAAUGUUAGGCGGUGUCCUCGUACUGAACCCAGCCCACCUGGCGUCACGGGCUAAUGGCGGACGAGCGCGGGGACCCGAUGUGGAACCGCGCCACCGGCGUGAACUGGGCGGUGCUGUUCGCCGACCGGCACGCUGACAUCGCCUGAUACGAGGGCCAAGGCCAGUGCCCUCUGCCGGGCCGGUUCAACAUCGACGGCCGGUGCCGGUUCUGGCGCGGGCGCAUCGUGGCGUCGGUGCUGGCCCACAUCGCCGCCGGCGACAACCCCCGGCUGGAGACUCCGCCGCCGCCGGUCCCACUGGCUCCGGCUCCGUCUCGUCCUCCCGCAGCGCCUGCUCGCCAGCGGGUUCGUCCUCCUGCCGACGGGUGCCCUCGCCGCCUCAUGGCCAUCUCCGCCUUGUCCGGCCAAAGCCGGUGCGGGAGUGGGCGUCGGAGCAGGCCUACGAGCGCCCGGCACUCGAAUGGCGAUCAGAUGACGACCCUGAGGAGUUCCCGGGGCUGCUGGCGGCGGAGCGCACCAGCCAGCGCGAGGCCGAAGAGACAGAACGCCUCGGCCUCGUCAUGACGGAUGCCCAGGCCGAGUCCUGAAGCUCAAAAGAGACGGCGAGAGAGACGGCCGAGAAGAAGACGGGGAAGAAGCCGAAGUCGGAGGUGAAGGUGGAGCCGAUCACCCUCGACUCCGACGACGCCUUCCUCGUCGACUUCAGCGACUAGCGCGGGCGUUUUUUUUUAAUUUUAGAAUUACGUAAUAAAAAAUAUGAUGUUUAAUUAAAUUUCAUCAAGUUUAGUUAAAUUUCGCCGAAUUUUGUUAAAUUUUGCCUAUUUUCAAAUUUUUUUUUGGGAGUUGGUAUUGGACCGCGGCUAGGUCACGGCAGAAUCAUAAAAAAAAAAUGUGCCGGCACCCUCCAAACGGUUGUGUCGGACGCCAAAUGAGAACGCCCGCUUGAGAUUCUCUAAUUCGGGGAAAACUAACCAACAUACAUUUUACACCGGUAUCAAAGGUUGGUAGGUCCUUCCAAAAAAAAGAGAGGUUGGUAGGUAGGUGGGGGAGAAUCGGGACAGGCACAAUCCCAUUAGAAGAACCCCACACAUUUGUGCGUGUGUUGUAAAAAAAGGGGCUCCCAGACAAGGUAGACACGGACGAGACCUCUGGGCAAAAACACCCAUGAAAGCUGUCAAAGGCACCCUCCAUAGCCCAUGAUCAAUCCAUGCAUCCUCUGUAUUCUAGAGAAAAAAAAAUCCAUGCAUCCUCCCUCAGCUCCUAGCUGCACGUCUAGCUAUAGCCAGCGGCACUCUCGACAUGCAUGCAACGAGACCCUGCCUGCCCCUGCACUACAUGCAUGCCUGCAUUGGACUGCAUUGCAAGUCCUGGAUUCUUGCCGCUGCCGGUGCAAUUAUUUCCCCCCGUCGAAUCCAACCAAAAGCGGCAGGCAGAGGCAGGAAGGGAGGCAGCGGCCUCUGUUUGCCAUGUGAAGGUGCCUUGUUUUUGUCCAGCGCUUCCCUUCCCUUCCGUUGUUCUCCAUCGGUUUGGCGUCCGGAUCAGCGCGCUCGUGAACCACAGCCGGCAACCGCGUAAUGUAUGUGCGUCCGAACUGACUGACGAGAUUCCGGCAUCCAUCCAUCCAUCCAUCCUUGCAUGUCUUCUUCUUUAGACAGAAAGAAAACAGAGAUAAAAACCUCAUUUUGGUCGGUUGCUUUCAGUGAUUUUUCCUUAACACAAUCAUACAGAUCACAUGGCAUGAAAUGUGGCACUAGUAUCUCACACGAGCCUGUCAUUUGAUUACAUUUAUCACCCGGUUCCUGGAUGUAGCCGGAUUUAUUUCUCAUCGUAGAAUGGUACAUGGAAAAUUGACUGUAUUUGUAGCCACCAUACCAUUUUUACUUUUAUAAUAUUUGUAGUACGGAGUACAAAUUUGACAAGAAUAUCUGUGGCUGAUUGUCUCGUUGAAGUCCUCUGUGCGCUUGUUGCGGCAUCAUCCGAUUGACCAACUUAUUUGGGGGAAAGAAGAGCGGUUGACUUUGAAGAGUUGGCGAGGUAUUGAACUGGAUGUCACCACAAGAGCAC
rnacentral:lncRNA from 1 species